rnacentral:tRNA from 1 species
CCUCGUAGCUAAAAUGUCUAAAGCGCUGGCCUUGUAAGACAGAGACUGGGAACUAACGCCCCCCCGAGAGUACAACCCAC